AUCUACUGCUCCUUAUUCUCUCUGAUUCUUUAUUUUUCUCCAAUAUCUUUAGCCUAUAGGUUCUGACUAUCCUUGCUUUGUGGUUGUUGUUCUUGUGAUGUGUAUGAGAGAUACAGAGAGUUGAGAAUUUGAUGAGAGUUGAGAAUUUGAUGAGAGUGAGAGAAUUUGUGAUGAGCGAUUGAUGAUGAUUGAAAAAUGAUUAUGUGUAAAAAAAAUGAUUGAAUGAUGAUUCUGCAGUGAUCGAAAAUGAUUCCAUCCCUUAAAUGAUUGAUGAUGAUGUUGAUUUAUAGAGUGAGAGUGGUAAUAGAUUUGGGUAGCUUGGGAAAUCACAGUUAGAAGUUAGGGCAAUGUUAACUAUGUUAGUUUUUUCAGUUGAAGUUAGUUGUGAUGGAUAACUCUGUUAGCUUCUAUUAACCUUGUUUUUUUAAUUCAGUUAUGAUGUUAGAGUCUAAGUUAGUGUUAGUUGCACUUAGUUAGUUAGGAAAGAGUUAAAUUUUGUUUGAACUGUCUGUUAUGAUAUCAAUUAGUGAAGGAGCAUUGUUAAGUUGAGUUAGUUCAGUUAGCAGGUUAGUGAAAUGAAAUGAAGUUGGACUGUCAUAGCUUGAAUGGAUGGUGUGAUAUUGGUUUAGUUAGUUAUGGCUAAAUCUGUGAUGCUAUUUUGGUCUAGAGUUAGGUGUUAGUGAUUAAGAUUCGAGCUAGUUAGUAGUUAGUUGUAGUUUUAUUAACAAGUUAGCUUGUUAGUUGAAAUUAGAGUUAUGUUGACAGUUAGUAAAGUUAGGAUGGAUAAUUGUGAUGUUAGUUUAGCAAGCCAACUGUUACUUGUUAAAAUGACAGUCAAAAUGAAGAAUGUUUAGAAUUAUGAAUUUCCAAUGGAGGAUGUUAAAAUAGCAAGCAAGUGUAACUGUUAUGACUUUCCCAAAGGUUUGAAUUUGGUGCAAAUUGGUUCUUCCUCUUCAUGCUCUUGAAUGCAGCAACUUGUCCAUGUAUUUAUGUAUGCAAAGUAGAUUGUUGAUAGGUUGUAUGUAGGUAGUUUUUACACUUGCUGGUUUGGGUUUUUUAUGGCUAUGCAGAGAUGCUUGAGUCAAUUGCUAUGAUGCUAAUUUGAUGCUUAACCGACUGUUAGGGUGAACUAGUGCUUUAAAUGUUAAACUGAUAUGUGACUGAUUGUUAGCAUGUAUGGGACUGGUUUGAUAAAACAAUUAGGUUGUUAAAGGGUGAAGAAAGCAGAGUUAGGGUUGCUAUAUUCUGUUUGAAUUUGGUUUGAGUUAGAAUGCGAUUAGCUUGACUAAAAAUGUUAAGUUGCAGUUAUGAUAAUUUGUUAGUUGGAAGUUCUGUGAAAUGGUGUGGGGGUAUGGUUCAUGAUAAUAUGUAGUGUAUGCAAAUAGAAGGUUAUGUACUUCUGUGAUGUUAAAAUGAUUGAGCUGUGAUGUUUAAACUAGUGAAAUCGAAGCUAGUUAAAUGUGUAGUUAAUAGUAAAAAUUACCUAGUUAGUUAUCAUAAAUUUAUUUGAAUUGACAAUAUUGGAAUCUUGAUGAAAUAUUAGUGGUGUAUUUUCUUGGUGUGGACUGUGAUGUUGUUAGCAAGCUAGGGUUAGUGAAUUGUUACAUGAGAAAUGCUAAUCUUGAAUUGCACUAUUAAUGCUUGAACCAUGAUUGUUUUAAUGGGUUAUUGGAUAUGAAUAUUGGUUAAUUGGUUUGGAUGCAGGUUUGAUGUGAAUAUAGGCUAAUCCCAAGCAUGACAUGCACUUGGUUGAUGAUCAUGAAGCAUGGAGUCUAAUUAUAAAGAGCAAGAAAUAAUAUCAAGAAAACAUGGAAGCUUUGAAGAACUAGAGACAUCACAAGGAGAUGGAUUGUGCAAGAAGUAGUAUAGGAUCUAGGGUUAGGAUUUCUUGGUGACUUUGGUCAACUAGUUGACCAAAAACUCAACAGUUGAUCAAUAAGUCAACAGUUGACCAGAGUCAAUUGUAGGUCAAAAGUGUAUUUUUGGUAGGUUUUGAUUUGGUAUCUUUUGUGAUGUAAUAUGAAUCUUUUUUGUAAUGUAAUGACUAUUAAAUGGUAUAAUGUAACUUACAUCU